rnacentral:sRNA from 1 species
ACCUACGUCAUAUAUAAUCGAUUGCUGAUAGAAUCAAGAAUACUAGUUAUCUAUCUACCGCUCUACCUUCCAACCAACAUGGCUACUCAGUAUCCAAUCAAUCUCUAUAAGAAUAAACAUCAUCAUUUAGCUGCCCAUCUAUCUGGCAAUGCUGGCUUACUAGAUGACUCCCUGGCUGCCUACCUGUCUAUUUAUCUGCUCAUCUGCUAGAAUAAAUGAUAUCUACCAAUGGUAUAUAUCGAUGAUUGCUGGCGAUGAUAUGUAUUGAUGAUAUUCAGCAAUGAUAUCUGGCGAUGAUAUUAAUAUAAGUUCGCACUUUUGUUCCGUCCUUCCCAGCUGCAUAUUUCAUAAAGUUCCUGUUAUACAGUGUUAUGCCUGAGCUCUCCACCCUUUCAAAGCAAUUAAAAAUGCAUUUCAUCCUCUGGGAC